ensembl:snoRNA SNORA81 small nucleolar RNA SNORA81
AACUUCUGCAUUAACAGAACUCUGCUAUAAUUGUGUGAUUCAGAGCAAUCUGUUUCACACAAUAAUGCUAGCAGAGUAUUAUGCGGAAGGAGAUCAUUGAAGCACUGUACUGAAAAUGAGAUGAGGUGGAACCUCUUUCUAAAUGUUCAUUGGCCUUUUUCUCAAGGUCCAGUGCUACACUU